rnacentral:misc_RNA from 1 species
CAGUAUUUUAAAUCAGAGUUUAGUUAGCUGGUCCCUUAGGGGGCAUGUGCUCGCUCUGUUUCAUACUUUUCCAUAUACACCCUGUGCACCUUGGACGAGUCGGCAUGACUUGUCUCUUUCAUAUAUAUAUAUGCCUGUCUUAUGCAUGUCUUCAUACACAUAUGAUUAUAAAA